GGGUCUGUCUGCGGACCGCAAGAGAGGGGCGUGCCGUUAAGGGGCGUAACGUUUAGCAGGGGGCGUAACUUUAAGUUGUCCAAGUUACACAGAACCACGCGAGACGUCAGGACGAGAUGUUGUCAUUCUGUCUUCUCUUCUGCCCGCAUAGAGAUACGGUGGCUAAAGGCGUUAUUAAAGUUGCUCAUCCAAGCGCCCUCAUGUUUGUUCGUACCAAUUUUAAUGGACGGGAAGCCGACUGACGAACAUCCUUUUCCCGAGAAAUGGUUCGGCUACGACACAUGUUAAGAAGUCACGCCAGGGGCUGAAUUAAGGUCGACCGUUUCAGAGCUACAUUGAUGUGAAGUGAUGCAGUGGACAACUUGUGAGGGUGAUACCAUCCACAUCCACCUUAUCUGUGAUGCAGAAAUACAAUAGGAUGAUCCAUCUGUAUACACUUUAAAAUCACAACUCAACCUUAAACAACCCAUAUCUGUUAUGGUAAAACAAUGUGGCGGUUUUCCAGACAGGGCUUAUACUGUUCCCGGGCUAAAAUGCAUGUUUGAGCUACUAUUAUUAAGAAAACACCUUGUACUGACACAUCUCAACAUAUAUUAGUGCCAUUGUUUUGUUUCAAGAUGCACACCAGUCUUGUUUUUGUAAGGUUUGUUUGUAAAAACUAAAAUGUCCUAAUAUAAGUGCCCAGUCCUGGUUUAAUCUAAACCAUUGGUGACCAAACCUGUGUCUUGAGAUCUACUGUCCUGCAGAGUUCAGCUCCAACCCCAAUCAAACACACCUGAACCUGCCAAUCAAGCAUUUCAGGGCAACCUAAAAAUUAUAGUCAGGUGUGUUUGUUAAAGCUGGGUUAGAACUAAAAUAUGCAGGAGGGUAGAUCUCCAGGAACAGGGUUGGUCACCCCUGAUCUAAACAAAGGGUUUCCAAACUGUGUCCUGCAAAGUUUAGCUCUAACCCUAAUCAAACACACCUGAAGCAGCCAAUUAAGGUCUUACUAAGCAUACUAGAAACUUACUGGCAGGUGCUCUGAUGCAAGUUAGAGCUAAACUCUGCAGAACACCAGCCCUCCAGGACUGAGUUUGGGUACCCCUGACUAAGCCCUGCCUGGGAAACUGCACCAAUGUGUUGAGCUGGCACCAUUGGACAUUACUGCUGCUGAGAAACAACCACAUUUCUCAGCUCUACACAGGGUUGACGUUGGAUGCAUUAUUAUUAUAAAAUGCAUUCAUGUGCACUUUACCAAUACUGUACAUACAUCAACAGCUUCCAGCUAUACACUUGGGAUCAGCUCCUGAUGCCUCUCAUAAUGCUGUGUUAUAAUUUAUUGCAGGUUUAUCUUGCUGAAAGGAUAUUUUUAUAAACCUUUACAAUGUCACCAGAUGUUACCUGUUGUGAAUAAUUAUUUUAUAAACCUUUACAAUCUCACCAGUUGUUACAUGUUGUGGAUAGUUAUUUUUAUAAACCUUUACAAUGUCACCAGAUGUUACAUGUUGUGGAUGGUUAUUUUUAUAAACCUUUACAAUGUCACCAGAUGUUACCUGUUGUGCAUAGUUAUUUUUAUAAACCUUUACAAUAUCACCAGAUGUUACAUGUUGUGAAUGGUUAUUUUUAUAAACCUUUACAAUGUCACCAGUUGUUACAUGUUGUGCAUAGUUAUUUUAAUAAACCUUUACAAUGUCACCAGAUGUUACCUGUUGUGAAUGGUUAUUUUUAUACACCUUUACAAUGUUACCUGUUGUGAAUAGUUAUUUUUAUAAACCUUUACAAUAUCACCAGAUGUUAUCUGUUAGCCAUUUCUUAUAAAACCACGUGAGCUCUGUAGAUUCCUCUUAAAACUUAAAAAGAAUUAAGUCUUUGCAAGUUUGCAAAUGAAUUUCAUCUUGGUUUAAUACAUAUUAAACUGUCUGAGGUGCACAUUUACUUAAAAAAA